UAUUGGCAGUGAAGAUUAUUCUACAGCUAUAAAAUGCCAGUUCUGCUUCUGAAAAUUCUUGAUUGAUAAGCUGUUACAUACUCUGAGCCUUCA